rnacentral:rRNA from 1 species
GACGAACGCUGGCGGCGUGCUUAACACAUGCAAGUCGAACGGAAAGGCCCUGCUUUUGUGGGGUGCUCGAGUGGCGAACGGGUGAGUAACACGUGAGUAACCUGCCCUUGACUUUGGGAUAACUUCAGGAAACUGGGGCUAAUACCGGAUAGGAGCUCCUGCUGCAUGGUGGGGGUUGGAAAGUUUCGGCGGUUGGGGUUGGACUCGCGGCUUAUCAGCUUGUUGGUGGGGUAGUGGCUUACCAAGGCUUUGACGGGUAGCCGGCCUGAGAGGGUGACCGGCCACAUUGGGACUGAGAUACGGCCCAGACUCCUACGGGAGGCAGCAGUGGGGAAUAUUGCACAAUGGGCGGAAGCCUGAUGCAGCAACGCCGCGUGCGGGAUGACGGCCUUCGGGUUGUAAACCGCUUUCGCCUGUGACGAAGCGUGAGUGACGGUAAUGGGUAAAGAAGCACCGGCUAACUACGU